CAAAUUAAAACCCUUACAUCUCAUGAGCACCCUUCUUCUUCAUAACCAAAGAAAAACCCUAGAACUUUAGGGAGAGCAGCCGCAAUAUACCACCAGUCGUCCCCUCAUCUCCUACACACAUAACAACCAUUCUCCAUCGUCAUCUUAUAAACUCUAGACCAAAAAACUCACGACCAACCAUCACCUCUCACCCAAAGACCUAGACUAAAAACAAAGAAAAACGGCAGCAUUCAAAAAGCUGGAGGAAUUUUGGUUCUGAAAAAUCUUUUGAGCAAUUAAAUUUGUGCGACUCAAAUGGACGCUGAAGCCGUAUGGUCAAGCAGAAGGAUUGAUUUUCUGAAUGUUGAAGAAUCGAUCGGUUGACCUUCAUCGGAAAACGCAUGUUUAUAAUAGGUGAAUUUAACUAUAAUUAAGCCCUAAAUAACCACCUUCUUGUAUAAUUUGGAUGAUAAAAGUGAUAACAAAAUGCUCUUAUUAGUGUUUUUCAUGCUUUGCAAGUUAUAUAUAACCAGAGAAGGCUAUGUAGUACUUUUGGGAUCAAAUAUGGAGAAAAAGAGGCCGAUCGUAAAAAUUCUGUCAAGUAAACCACGCGAAACAACUCAAGUUAGAACUGAAAGAGGACUGCCGCGGUUCCACCGCGACCGCGGCAGAACCGCGGUAGAAGAUGGCUGCAGACAAAGUGAGAAUCAGAGAGCAUGUUUGGCCAUGGUUUGACCGCGACCGCGACAGAACCGCGGCGGAGGCGGAGAACUUCAGGGACUAAAGUGCAAAACACGGAAUUUUAGCCCAAAACCCUAUUUUAAACACUAGACUUCGCCCAAGAGAGGCAUGUAUUGAUUUGGAGAGUAUUUUGGCAAGGAAAAAUAAUUGUGAGAGAUCACCCAAAACAUCUUUCUUCUUUUCUUUGAUUGUUNN
rnacentral:lncRNA from 1 species